rnacentral:rRNA from 1 species
UACGUAGGUGGCAAGCGUUGUCCGGAUUUAUUGGGUGUAAAGGGCGUGCAGCCGGAGAGACAAGUCAGAUGUGAAAUCCACGGGCUCAACCCGUGAACUGCAUUUGAAACUGUUUCCCUUGAGUGUCGGAGAGGUAAUCGGAAUUCCUUGUGUAGCGGUGAAAUGCGUAGAUAUAAGGAAGAACACCAGUGGCGAAGGCGGAUUACUGGACGAUAACUGACGGUGAGGCGCGAAAGCGUGGGGAGCAAACAGG